rnacentral:rRNA from 1 species
CGGACGGGUGAGUAAUGCUUGGGAAUCUAGCUUAUGGAGGGGGAUAACUACAGGAAACUGUAGCUAAUACCGCGUAAUAUCGAGAGAUUAAAGUGUGGGACCUUCGGGCCACAUGCCAUAGGAUGAGCCCAAGUGGGAUUAGGUAGUUGGUGAGGUAAAGGCUCACCAAGCCGACGAUCUCUAGCUGGUCUGAGAGGAUGACCAGCCACACUGGGGCUGAGACACGGCCCAG